GCAACAGAGAAAGAGAGAGAUAGGAUUGUUUGAGCAAACCGUGAGAAGAUGUCUUCAUCGUACGACAACACAAUUUCAUCAUCCUCCACUCAGGCUUUCCCCCUCUUAGCCAUCGGAGCAAACAACUUUAACCGUGAAGAGACGGCGGUGACAAUGAAUCAACGGCCCAACUCCGUUUCUCCACCACCCAGGAGACUAAGAAACAAACCAGGAAACCCAAGUCCAGAGCUGAAGUGAUAGCCUUGUCUCCAGAGGAGAUAAUGGCGACGAACAGGUUCCAAUGUGAAGUAUGCAAAAAAGGAUUUCAAAGAGAACAGAGUCUCCAGCUUCACAGGAGAGGACACAACCUUCCAUUUAACCUGAAAC